rnacentral:rRNA from 1 species
UACAGAGGUCCCAAGCGUUGUUCGGAAUUACUGGGCGUAAAGGGCGCGUAGGCGGCCUUCUAAGUCAGACGUGAAAUCCCUCGGCUCAACCGGGGAACUGCGUCUGAGACUGGAAGGCUUGAAUCCGGGAGAGGGAUGUGGAAUUCCAGGUGUAGCGGUGAAAUGCGUAGAUAUCUGGAGGAACACCGGUGGCGAAGGCGGCAUCCUGGACCGGUAUUGACACUGAGGCGCGAAAGCUAGGGGAGCAAACGGG